AAAGCAGACGAUGGAUGCCUAGGAUGCUAGAGCCGAAGAAGGACGUACAUGGUCGCGAUAGACGUCGGGGAGCUGCCACGAAGCUGUGAUCCGGCGGUGUCCGAAUGGGGAAACCCUCCCGAUGGAAGCAUCGGGGAGCCACGCGCAAGCGUGAGCGGGGAACGCCUCGAACUGAAACAUCUAAGUAGGGGCAGGAAAAGAAAUUACAAAGAUUCCGUAAGUAGCGGUGAGCGAAAGCGGAAAAGUCUAAACUUAUGCCGCAAGGCGUGAGGGUUGCGGGAUGUGCCAAGGGAUGAAAGAAAGAUAAUUGAACUGCCUGGAAAGGUAGGCCAAAGAGCGUGACAGCCGCGUAAGUGAAAUUUUUCUUUCCUCAAGGCCAAUUUCCCAAGUACCAUGGAGCAGAUACUCUGUGGGAAUCCGGGGUGACCACACUCCAAGACUAAAUACCCUAGCAUACCGAUAGUGAACUAGUACCGUGAGGGAAAGGCGAAAAGAACGGGCAAAACCCGAGUGAAAUAGAACCUGAAAUUGUCUGCUAUCAAGCAGUGAGAGUCCUUCGACCGCAAGGUCUCGGGAUAAUCGCGUGCCUAUUGAAGAAUGAUCCGGCGAGUUUUCGUUCAGUGCGAGCCUAACCAAGUUUAACUUGGGGAGGCGCAGGGAAACCGAGUGUUAACAGCGCGAUUAGUACUGGAUGGAAGACCCGAAACCUGGUGAGCUCAGAGUUACAAAUCUGUGAGAUGACUUGUGGUUAGGGGUAAUAUGCCAAUCGAACCAGGAGAUAGCUGGCUCUCCCCGAAAUAUAUAUAGGUAUAGCCUCCCUCCUUCGCAGCUUUCAGGUAGAGCACUGGAUAGACUGUGCAGCGCGAGUUGUGCAGUUUAAUCAAACUCCGAAUUGGAAUGCUUCGGGAGGGGGAGUCAGAACGACCCGGCUAAGCGGGCCGCUCUAAAGGGAAACAACCCAGACUGUCGUCUAAGGUCUCUAAAUGAAUACUAAGUGUGAAACGAAGUCAAAUUUCUCAGACAACCAGGAGGUUGGCUCAGAAGCAGCCAUCCUUUAAAGAAAGCGUAACAGCUCACUGGUCGAUUUGGAAGUUUGGCGCGAAAAAUUUACCGAGGCUAAGUAUUCUACCGAAGAUACAGAUGCGCGCAAGCGCGUGGUAGGGGAGCGUUGAGAGAACAGUGAAGUCCUUCUGCGAAGAUCAGGAUGGAGUGAUCUCAAGUGAGAAUGCCGGAAUGAGUAGCGUAACCCCGAUGAGAAUUCGGGGCGUCGAAAACCCAAGGUUUCCCCCGCGACAUUGUUUGACGGGGGGUGGGGGUGAGUCGGCACCUAAGGCGAGGCCGCAGUUGGCGUAGCUAAUGGACGAGCCGUAGAUAUUCGGCUACAUGGUGAAUGUCGUCACGUGGCGUAAGCCACGCGUGCGCAAGCACGAGCAGUUAGGGAUGGACGGGAUAGGAGUAACCAGAUGUUGUUGUGAUAUAUGACAUCUAAGCCAUAAAAUAGUUGGUCUUGGAAAAUCCAGAUCGACGUUUAAUUGAGUGGUGACGGGGAGUUGGGGUCGCAAGACUUCGACAACUUGGUGAUCUUCAAUCCUCAAGAAAAGAUUCGUAACGAGAUAUUUAUCAUGCCGUACCGCAAACCGACACUGGUGGGUUGGUCGAGAAGACUAAGACGAUCGGGAGUAGGUAGUUCAAGGAACUCGGCAAAAAAGCUGGACGUAAGCUAUGCAAGAUGUCCUGCCCCGCAUUUGCGGGGCUGCAACAAAAGAGUAUUCCGCGACUGUUUAACUAAAACACAGGUCCGUGCGAACUCGAAAGAGACGGUAUACGGGCUGAGACCUGCCCAGUGCUCGCAAGUCAAGUGGAUGAGUGAGAUUACAUCAAGCUCUGAAAUGAAGCCCGAGUGAACGGCAGCAGUAACUAUAACUGUUCGAUGGUGGAAUAUGCGCCGCCAUCGUGAGGUAGACAAACCUCCAUUAAGUGCCCCUUUUACCUUUGGGGUGGAAAUGAAAAUUUGACUAUAUGCUGGAACGUCUGAGAAUCCCAAACUAGUUUGACUUCGGAUAAUAUUCGGAUUAAACUGAAAAUGUUAUGGGUGCAGAUAAUCAGCAGGAAAGACUAGAUCCGUGGUGGAUUGUAGGUUUCGUAGAUGGCGAAGGGUGUUUUUCUGUAAGUACUUUUCGGAACUCUACCCACAGAAGUGGCUAUCAAACUUUAUUUGAGUUUGUGGUUACCCAAGGGGAGAAAAGCAAAAGUGCUAUGGAAGCAAUCAAGAAAUAUUUUGAUUGUGGAGGAAUUUACAUCAAUCGCCGAUACGAUAAUCAUAAAUACAAUCUGCUGAGAUAUUGCGUGAGGAAACAGGAGGAUCUUAGAAAUAAGAUUGUCCCUUUCUUUCGCAAAUAUCCUUUACAAUCGGCUAAGCGAAAGCAGUUUGAGCUGUUCUGUAAGCGUUUAAAGGUCUAGAAUCCUCACACACUAUACGUCAGACAUCGUAGUAAUACGUAAAGAGAUAGUGGCGUCUGCAUGGCGACAUGCAGUUAAGAUUAAGCAAGCGAAGUUCCUUGUCAGGUAAGUUCUGACCCGCAUGAAAGGUAUAACGACGGAAUAACUGUCUUGAACUA
rnacentral:rRNA from 1 species